UGGACAUUCAUUAACUGCCUCUUGUAUGUCAGAUCCCUUGAAAAACUUGAAGGCUUUUCUGGAGAUUCCUUUUGUGUCACAGAUUGGCUUCUGAGGAUGGAGGCAGUGGAUAAAGAUCAGUUAUCAGAUGACAAUUUUUGUAAAAGUCAGGAC